rnacentral:rRNA from 1 species
UACGUAGGGUGCGAGCGUUAAUCGGAAUUACUGGGCGUAAAGCGUGCGCAGGCGGUUCGUUAUGUCCGUUGUGAAAGCCCCGGGCUCAACCUGGGAAUGGCAAUGGAAACUGGCGGGCUCGAGUGUGGCAGAGGGGGGUGGAAUUCCGCGUGUAGCAGUGAAAUGCGUAGAGAUGCGGAGGAACACCGAUGGCGAAGGCAGCCCCCUGGGCUAACACUGACGCUCAUGCACGAAAGCGUGGGGAGCAAACAGG